rnacentral:tRNA from 1 species
UUCUUGGUAUCUCAGGGGUAAAGAAUCUGCUUGCAGUGCAGAAGACCCAGGUUUGAUCCCUGGGUUGGAAA